UACGAAGGGGGCUAGCGUUGCUCGGAAUCACUGGGCGUAAAGCGCACGUAGGCGGCUUUUUAAGUCAGGGGUGAAAUCCUGGAGCUCAACUCCAGAACUGCCUUUGAUACUGGGAAGCUUGAGUCCGGGAGAGGUGAGUGGAACUCCGAGUGUAGAGGUGAAAUUCGUAGAUAUUCGGAAGAACACCGGUGGCGAAGGCGGCCCACUGGUCCGGUACUGACGCUGAGGUGCGAAAGCGUGGGGAGCAAACAGG
rnacentral:rRNA from 1 species